AUGCAAGUCGAACGAAGUAGCAAUACUUAGUGGCAGACGGGUGAGUAACAUGUAGGUAUCUGCCCUUGGGCCUGGAAUAACACGAGGAAACUUGUGCUAAUACCGGAUAAGUCUUUACGGAGAAAGCUUUAUGCACCAUUGGAUGAGCCUGCACUUGAUUAGUUUGUUGGUGGGGUAAUGGCCUACCAAGACUGUGAUCAAUAGCUGAUUUGAGAGGAUGAUCAGCCACAUUGGGACUGAGACACGGCCCAAACUCCUACGGGAGGCAGCAGUGGGGAAUCUUGCACAAUGGAGGAAACUCUGAUGCAGCGAUGCCGCGUGAGUGAAGAAGGCCCUUGGGUUGUAAAGCUCUUUCGUCGGGGAAGAAAAUGACUGUACCCGAAUAAGAAGGUCCGGCUAACUUCGUGCCAGCAGCCGCGGUAAUACGAAGGGACCUAGCGUAGUUCGGAAUUACUGGGCUUAAAGAGUUCGUAGGUGGUUGAAAAAGUUAGUGGUGAAAUCCCAGAGCUUAACUCUGGAACUGCCAUUAAAACUUUUCAGCUAGAGUAUGAUAGAGGAAAGCAGAAUUUCUAGUGUAGAGGUGAAAUUCGUAGAUAUUAGAAAGAAUACCAAUUGCGAAGGCAGCUUUCUGGAUCAUUACUGACACUGAGGAACGAAAGCAUGGGUAGCGAAGAGGAUUAGAUACCCUCGUAGUCCAUGCCGUAAACGAUGUGUGUUAGACGUUGGAAAUUUAUUUUCAGUGUCGCAGGGAAACCGAUAAACACACCGCCUGGGGAGUACGACCGCAAGGUUAAAACUCAAAUGAAUUGACGGGGACCCGCACAAGUAGUGAGCAUGUGGUUUAAUUCGAAGAUACGCGCAGAACCUUACCAACACUUGACAUGUUCGUCGCGACUCUAGAGAUUA
rnacentral:rRNA from 1 species